CAGCAGGAUUUAGACUACAAUAUAGCGGUUAAGUGCUAUUUUGCCAUUCCCCCUGCUCAAAGUAAAGUUGUUUGUUAUCUAUCCCUGUCUGCUAGUUCCUUGUAGCAGCCUAGGGAUGCUUGGUCUCAUACAU
ensembl:snoRNA SNORA63 Small nucleolar RNA SNORA63